rnacentral:tRNA from 1 species
GGGCGAUUAGCUCAGCUGGGAGAGCGCUUGGUCUACACCCAAGUUGUCGGCGGUUCAAGCCCGUCAUCGCCCA